AUUUUUUUAUGGUCAGUUGUUGACACGUGUUUCUUUAUGGUUAUGUCCACCGUUUUUUCCCAGUCAUCUUUGGGCUGUCCACCGCCAAUUUCACCUUUCCACCGCUCAAAUAAUUUACCUUCCAUCACCGGCUCCAUUCGAUGCUUCUCGAUUCUUUAGAGAACCACCCCACCUCGAAUUUCCUUCUCACCUGUCUUUGCUUUUGUCACCGGCGGUUUCCUCUGACAUCUGCGUCGCCCGACCGUUGUUUUUAUCCCUGACUUCACCGGUGGUCUCUCUAUCCGAAAGCAUUGAAGAAACCACAACAAGAAAACGGAGACACGAAACCUAGAGGCGCCAAUGGAUUCACCCCACCUCUUUUUCCACAGUUCAUCAAUCUCUUCCAUCUACUGUAAGGUCUUCUAAAUUCAUUGAAGCGCCUAUCCUUUACAUUCGACAGCUUCUCCCUUUUCUUCUUCAUUUGGAUUUCAUCGGCCAUCCAUAGGGAAACAUCUACUGCGACGUAUUCGAAGCCGGAUGAUCAUCGACUUCAUUCCCAUCCAUUCGUCAUGAAUCCGCUUCCAUGAUCGGUGCCUCAACGCUCUUCUACCACAGAUUCCAUCGUCGCACACAACAAAUUGUAGAAUCCGGUUCGAUUCUAUAAGCCCUACAUCCAAAAAUGGUCCCCGUUCCUCGAAUUACCGUUUUCUCCAAAUUAGGGCUUUCGUUUUUAGUAGUCGUUAGUAUCUUUAGCAACUCUUUCAUCUUUAUUCCUUUCCCUGUUGUUCCUUUCCCAUUUGUUGAUUGACAAUCGCUACUGAACCUUAACCCCUUCUUUCGAUCGAUUUUUCAACCACAGAAGAUCACCAUCUCUGCAAGGGACAAACAUACAAAACCGAUGGAGUGGAAUGGCGAACCCCAAAAUUCGACUUUUCCCGACAAAUCAGGGAUGUAAAUCAUUAACAAUUUAUAAUUACAUACAAAAACCAUAUAUGGUAACUAUCGGUUCGUAUGGACUAAAACACACAUCGCUCUCUUUGAACCCUGCUUUUCGUAUGGGCGUAUUUUUCAAAUUCUUCUAUAUUUUCGUGUUUUAUAUAGUUUUAGUAUAAGUUUUUCAUUGUUUUUUCCCUUUGUGUUGGAAGGUUUACAAGGAGAUCAUAAACGAUGGCAUCAAUGGUGGUGGAAUUGAAAAAAAAUCUGAUUUGCAUACCAAGUGUUUGUUAAUUUGUCUCAGUGAACUUUAGUUACCUGAUUCCAAAACUUCUGAUUUGCAUACCAAGUGUUUGUGACAGGUCCCACCUGGGCAUACGGGGCUGAUUUCGGAAACUGUGUUGAUAUAGAAAUUCUCCAACUUCAGUGAAACGUGUUGGACACCCAGGCAGUCACGAUUAGAACAAGGAAGUUCAUGACAAGCAAGCUUCUAUCCAGGAAGUAAUACGCCCAAUGUCCCCAAGUAACCUUUAUGCAGUAUUCCAAGAUUGUUUUCUAUGUUCACUAAAUUGGCUUGCUGCUUCUUUUCUUCUUGUGUUGAGGGUCAAAUUGAAGGAGAAGUUGGCUAGAAUAUUCGUAUGAGGUGAAAGAUAAAAAUUCCAUCUUUGUAUUCAACUUCAGGACUCAUUUUGGUGGUGGUAAAUCAACAGGUUUUCGUUUGAUAUAUGAUUCUGUUGAAAAUGCCAACAAGUAUGAGGCAAAAUAUAAUAGACAGCGAGAUGAUAACAACCCUAUGUCUAUCAUUUCAGUAUAUAAUGUGAGUGUUACUCACCACAUCAUGGAAUUUAAAUCCUGUUUUAAACUAUUCAGGGAAUUGAAAUGCUUUCACCUGGUUCUUUCAAGACCGAUUCUAUUCUGUUGUUGCUAAGUGGAUUCUUUUUUAAUAAUAUUUUAUGUUUAUUUAUAUGGUUUUCCAAUAGAUUUGUUGACGUCAUCGUUGAAACAUGAAUGAAUAGUAAUUUGAAAUCUAUGCAAAUACUUAUAUUUUUAGUCAUCUAAAAAAAAAAAAAAAAAAAAAAAAAAAAAAAAAACUAACUAACUAAAUUGCUAUUUCCUGAAAUUUACCUUUUUGUUUAUUGAUGGGUAUUAGCAAUGUGGUAAUUUGUUGUUCUAACACCUUCCAUUUUCGUCAGUUUAGUAAUUAACCUUAUAUUUUGCUAUGGAAAGGAUCAAAUGGGAAAUUAAAAAAAAAAAACAAAUCUAUAACUAAUACCCUUCAUGUGCUUAUGUUCAAGAGUUAUAUAUUCUCUACACGUCAACUCUUUAUCCUUAUUUUUGCCAUGGUAAGUCCUUUAUCAGGAUGUUAUACAUGUUGACUUUACUUGGAUCAUAUUUAUUUAUCAUAAUAUUGAUGGACUGAUUUAACACUUCAUAUCAGAUACAUGUGCACAACAGCAACAACGUUUUCAGCAUGACAUACUUCCAAGAAAUGAAGAAACCAUUUCUAAGCCACCACAAGUUGAACCUGUCAACUAAUCAGUUACUCCUUAUUAUGGUGCGAUGAUGGCAACUUAUGGUCAACAUUUUGUGAGAAUCUUGAUUAUUUCUUCACUAUAAGGGAUUGUUGCAUAAAAGGGACUUGAUGAACUUUAUCUCAAACCCAUUUAUAUUUUGCAUAUCCAGUACCUUUUCAUUUUGUUCAGAUCUGUUCGGUUUUCACAUUGACAUCGACUGAGACACAACAUCUAAAGAGAAUAUCAAGGCAAAUGAUGUGAAAAAUCAUUCAUAGCAUUGGCACAGUCUCAUGUAGAUGAUUACCGCAAAAAACCUAAAAACACCACAAACCUUUUGGAAAUCGUUUAAUCGAAAACGCGGGGUCACUUUUCUAGUUAUUAUUAUUAUUAUUUUGUAUUUUGUAGAUUCUCUUGUAAUGUUGAUUAUUAAUGUUUUACGGAUUUAAAUUAAUGUUUAAUGUUAGUUUUUUAUGACAA